ensembl:lncRNA
AUUGCUUUAAAGCCUCUCGGUGUGGAUGCGAUACUUGCUCCAGCUUCUUGGUACUGGCCUCAAAGCCAGGCCACCGAUGGCUCUUAUCAUUUAUCAUGUAUGACUUUAAUUGCAUUUCAUCCUCGAUUCAUUUUCCAUCUCAGAGGUUUUGAACAAACAUUUUUAGACUCUGUUUUUGGAUGAUUUACAACUUUUUUUAAGAUGGUACAAUUUAAUAAGCAAAAGACAGACCUCUAAAAAAUCUCAAAUGAUAACAUUCAAUUGAUUUCUGUCCUGCUGGUUACAGGAUCACCGCUAGAUGUCCUCCUCGUGCCAUCUACUAAAUACUUUAAAUAAAUAAAUAAAUGAGACCACGGCUGUCCCUCCAACAUGUUAUUGCUGCUGCAGUGUCCUGUUUGAACAAGUCAGGGCUGUGCUCCUCUCCUUUUUACCCACACCUUUGCCUAUUUGUCGCACUCCCCCUCCCUCCGUCCUCUUGUUGCCUGGGAGCCCGUGUGUUCUCCCGCGAGAAAAGCAGGUUUUUCCGUGCAUUUCACACUGUGAAGGCGACCCAGCCUUGCAGGUAUCCUAAAGCCACGUAUUUAUUAAAGAGGAGCUACGAUGUCGCAGCCAACUGCUGAGGCUUGCAAAAUAUGUGUUCUUCACUAAAGUCACGACGGUAUCUAUUUUCCACUUCUUCCUACUUAUCUUUUUAUUGGGUUGUGGCAGUAUACAUAUUAUUUCCCUCCUGUACCCGGUCCUCGUCUUUCCACUGGCAUUUCUCUCCCUGGGAGCCUUUGAUGACUUGAAGCUGGUUGUUUGUAGAUGUCAGUUCGAUAAUCUGAGCUGCUAGCUGUUGACGGGAGAUUAGGUUGAUGCUUUAAGAAGCCUGGAGUAGGAGAGUGCAUCACGGAGGAAGAUAACUGUUGUCGGGCCAUUAGUGUGAGGAUGAUGCUUAUUUGGCAGCAUAACAUUGACGUAAGUAAGAGGCAGCUCGUUAGAUCGUGUUCAUUUCUGCCACAGUGUGAAUCAAAGAGACGGGAACAUCGGUAGCAAGAAGAGCGGUAAAGUAACAUGAGCCGAGAUUAGAAAGUGAGAGGUGCAUCCACAAGCAGCUAGAGCCACUGUAACCUCUUCUACCGUGUCUGUAUUAGAAAUCAGAUUUUGAGAUGUGUUUCUCACAUGGGAGCUCGGUUGCCUACCGAAUGUCAUGAGCCCAACAGAUAGGAAUCCACCCGGACCCAAUGCCGUUUUCUCACAACACUGCUUGGUUGUUUGUUGGAAGACUCACUCAGCCUCAGUGUACCGUCGCCCUUUACUGCCGUGUGCACGGCAUAUUUUAAUAUCCAUGGCUUGUUUUCGGAGGUCUUUUUUGACCGCUUCAAAACUGAUAUCUAAUAAACAGCAGCGCGUUAGCUUAGCAUCAAGCAUCAAGAAACGGCUAUGGGUUCCUCCAAAGGUGACAAAUCCACCCAACCAGCACAUCUGAGGGCACACCAAUUGACAUGUUUCAUGUCCAGUACUUGUGAAGAAAAACAAUACAACAUUAUUUUUUAUUCUUAGACGGUUUAGUUGGAUAAUCUUCAUUUAAAGGAGUAGUUUGAUGUAACAUAAGUGCUCCCUACGCAUCUUUUUGAGACCUUUCGACGGAGCCGUGCUAGCU